rnacentral:snRNA from 1 species
GGGUGUGAGGGAGAUCUGGCUGUGACAUCGGUCACCCCGUUGAUCUCUGGGUUGACUCAUCUGAUCUGGCUGGCUCGUCCAGUGUCCCUUUCCUCAAUCCCACUCCACGUGCAUCCCUUCUGCUGCGGUUGGUCUGAGAGGAUGACCACUCACAACAGAAGAGGACUGUUUUCCUGAUAUGGUCAAAGGUAGAGGGUUAGCUGCAACCUCCAAACAAUCUUUUAAUAUACGUGCUUAUUGUUAUCUGUAUAACUGA